CACGCUGUAAACGAUGAUCACUAGAUGUUGGCGAUAAACAGUCAGCGUCCAAGCGAAAGUAAUAAGUGAUCCACCUGGGGAGUACGUUCGCAAGAAUGAAACUCAAAGGAAUUGACGGGGGCCCGCACAAGCGGAGGAGCAUGUGGUUUAAUUCGAUGAUACGCGAGGAACCUUACCUGGGCUCGAACGUAAUGUGACGUAAUGUGAAAGCAUUAUUCUCUUCGGAGCAGAUUACGAGGUGC
rnacentral:rRNA from 1 species